rnacentral:rRNA from 1 species
GGAUAACCUGCCCUUGGGACCGGCAUAACCCCGGGAAACUGGGGAUAAUUCCGGAUAACGCAUAUUUGCUGGAAUGCUUUAUGCGUCAAAAGGAUUCGUCUGCCCAAGGAUGGGUCUGCGGCCUAUCAGGUAGUAGUGGGUGUAAUGUACCUACUAGCCAGCGACGGGUACGGGUUGUGAGAGCAAGAGCCCGGAGAUGGAUUCUGAGACAUGAAUCCAGGCCCUACGGGGCGCAGCAGGCGCGAAAACUUUACAAUGCGGGAAACCGUGAUAAGGGGACACCGAGUGCCAGCAUCAUAUGCUGGCUGUCCGGAUGUGUAAAAUACAUCCGUUAGCAAGGGCCGGGCAAGACCGGUGCCAGCCGCCGCGGUAACACCGGCGGCCCGAGUGGUGAUCGUGAUUAUUGGGUCUAAAGGGUCCGUAGCCGGUUUGGUCAGUCCUCCGGGAAAUCUGAUAGCUCAACUAUUAGGCUUUCGGGGGAUACUGCCAGACUUGGAACCGGGAGAGGUAAGAGGUACUACAGGGGUAGGAGUGAAAUCUUGUAAUCCCUGUGGGACCACCUGUGGCGAAGGCGUCUUACCAGAACGGGUUCGACGGUGAGGGACGAAAGCUGGGGGCACGAACCGGAUUAGAUACCCGGGUAGUCCCAGCCGUAAACGAUGCUCGCUAGGUGUCAGGCAUGGCGCGACCGUGUCUGGUGCCGCAGGGAAGCCGUGAAGCGAGCCACCUGGGAAGUACGGCCGCAAGGCUGAAACU